UACGUAGGGUGCGAGCGUUAAUCGGAAUUACUGGGCGUAAAGCGUGCGCAGGCGGUUUUGUAAGCCAGAUGUGAAAUCCCCGGGCUUAACCUGGGAAUGGCAUUUGGGACUGCAAGGCUUGAGUGCGGCAGAGGAGACUGGAAUUCCUGGUGUAGCAGUGAAAUGCGUAGAUAUCAGGAGGAACACCGAUGGCGAAGGCGGCUCUCUGGAACGCAACUGACGCUGAGACGCGAAAGCGUGGGGAGCAAACAGG
rnacentral:rRNA from 1 species